AGCCUGUUGACCCUGUGCUGGCCAAGGAUUGAUGCCGCCCCCGACACGCUGACUUCAUGAUGCAAAGGAAACCAGAUGUCCAGUUACCCUUAAUACCAUGGAAAUAGACAAGAUGACCCAAAGGCUUCCUACUUUGUUUAAUCACAUGAAGAUCAAACUGAAUGAGAGUUGAGGAAACUGAGGCCAGAGGGAUGGAGUGACAUGCAGUGGGCUUGGGUCACUGGUCUUUGGUGACAGAACACAGACAAGAACUAGCUCCCACAGCUGAUAGGAGUUCUCCUCAUCACUCUUAUCUCUGCCCAACUUACAACACAGCAAUUGAUUUGUUGCCAUCCACUCUUUAUUGAUGAACACCUUGUGGUGGAAAACAUCAUUGUACACAGGAUUUCCUGGUUGCUGAGCCACUCUUCACUCUGGACGUGAAAGAUGCCACCUGCCAAGUAAACCUGACCCAGAAGGAUCCUGGCUGAUCAACAAACCAAACAUGGAUUGACAGAAGGAAGAAAUAUCAGGAAGACUUUCUGGUCAGGGCCAGCCUGGGGAUGGAGGCCUCUCACCACCCAUUUCCACGGAAGGUGGCAGACCUGCAGAGCAUGUCCCCACUCUUCAUGCUGAGAGAGAACAGACGUCUGGGGACCCUGGUAAGGGCAGGCCCUGCUAGCUGGGUCCACAGACCAGUCGAGCACUUUUGUGCCAUCUGAGGGAGAGGACACACAUCACGUGCGCAGCAGCCUGAGCGUGCUCCUGAGUGGGGAGCUGCCCAGUCUGAUCAGCCAGACGUCUUCGCAUUGGGAGGGGAGUCAGGGCAAGUGGGGAUAGAAGCUGCCUCUCUAGCACUUCCUUGUCCCAGAGAAAGUGUUUGCAGACCUUCCCUUCUCUUUCUGUCAGCCCAGAAAUAAAAAAAGAGGAAUAUAA